rnacentral:rRNA from 1 species
CCUACGGGUGGCUGCAGUAGGGAAUAUUGGGCAAUGGAGGCAACUCUGACCCAGCCAUGCCGCGUGCAGGAAGAAGGCGUUAUGCGUUGUAAACUGCUUUUAUAUAGGAAGAAAGAGUUCUUGCGAGAACAGUUGACGGUACUAUAUGAAUAAGCACCGGCUAACUCCGUGCCAGCAGCCGCGGUAAUACGGAGGGUGCAAGCGUUGUCCGGAUUUAUUGGGUUUAAAGGGUGCGUAGGCGGUUUAUUAAGUCAGUGGUGAAAGACGGUCGCUCAACGAUUGCAGUGCCAUUGAUACUGGUAGACUUGAGUGAGAUUGAGGUAGCUGGAAUGGAUAGUGUAGCGGUGAAAUGCAUAGAUAUUAUCCAGAACACCAAUUGCGUAGGCAAGUUACUAAGUCUCAACUGACGCUGAGGCACGAAAGUGUGGGUAUCAAACAGGAUUAGAUACCCUGGUAGUC